GUAGCCAGUGUGGCGCCAGGCCGGUAUCUUCCGCCGCUAUAGGCAGGUGCACCCGAGGGGAGAUCCCUCCUGCGCCUUCCGCCUCGCCCUCUUCUUCCGUGUCCACUGCCACCUCUUCUGAAGCACACAAAUAUCUUUAUAAUAUAUUCACGCAGGGCUGUAGCUCGUCCUCGUCUACACAGUAAUAGAUGAACUCAGCAGUUGGCAAGGCACCAGGGCUCUGAGCCUGCAUCUGGACAAGUCGAUAAGAAAGCAUGAAUGCUCUCCUUUUCAGUGGCAAUGGGAAGUUCAGAUCACACAAUAUCAAUCAACCUGACCUGAUGAGGACCCCACCCUGCUCUCCCCAGAAAGCUUCGCUAUCACAAAAGGUCAUUUCAAUCCAGCUUCACUAAUGAUGAGGAGCUAUUUCCCUGGAAGAGGUACUGAGAAAUUGAAGAAAAGAGAGACAAUUUGGAGCUGGCAGUAUAGUCCCAGAAAAUAACCUUCAAAAGCCAUGGUAAUAUAAAAAAAUAUAUUUUGUAUGUAACAGUUACUACAGCCUGAACUUUUUCCAAAGGAGUGAAGUAGAUAUUAAAGUAUUAAACAAGGCUUAUCUUUUUUAGAUCUAUAUUGUAGCAACAUGACUUUGGGCUAUGUGUAUGGUUGGGAGCAGAGUGAGGGUAAACCAGAGUUAUGUGUAAGACAGAAUUAAGAGCUUAUUGCCGUCGUUCAAAACAGAAA
rnacentral:lncRNA from 1 species